GUGCCAGCCGCCGCGGUAAUACGUAGGGUGCGAGCGUUAAUCGGAAUUACUGGGCGUAAAGCGUGCGCAGGCGGUCUGUUAAGACAGAUGUGAAAUCCCCGGGCUUAACCUGGGAACUGCAUUUGUGACUGGCAGGCUAGAGUAUGGCAGAGGGGGGUAGAAUUCCACGUGUAGCAGUGAAAUGCGUAGAGAUGUGGAGGAAUACCGAUGGCGAAGGCAGCCCCCUGGGCCAAUACUGACGCUCAUGCACGAAAGCGUGGGGAGCAAACAGGAUUAGAAACCCUCGUAGUCC
rnacentral:rRNA from 1 species